rnacentral:tRNA from 1 species
GGCUUGUAGCUUGAAUGGUUGGAGCGCCGUGCUGAUAACACGAAGACAAUGAGUUCAAUCCUCAUGCAAGCCA